GUUGCAACACAUUUUUUUUUAAAUGUAAUCCUUUUUAGAACUCCAAUUGUAAGAAAUAUACAAAGUCUCCAAACUGCCUGUAUUUAGAAUUCAUUUCAACUGAGGAAAAAGCUCUCUCCGAUGGUAAACAUCAACUUUAAUGAUCACGAUGAUGAAAAAGAAGCUAAACUGUUCACUUAAAUAUUCCUCUGUCUCACUGCAUCAAAACACUAAACUCCAAUUCAACUGGGUCUUGAAACAGCAAAUGCUUCUGCUUAGUACAUGAUAUACAUGAUAUAGAAUUGCUGUCUUUUUUCUUCUUUUCAUUGAAAUAUUUGGUGGCUUUCCAAACAAAUUUUAAUCAGAUUUUCGGUAUUAAAUGGUCAUGAUGAGUUAUAAAUAAGUAACUUUCUUCUGCUGUCUCGGUACAGGUGAUCAUCAUUGCUGAAAUAUGAAAAUGCAAAUAUAAUGUACAUGUAUAUAUAUUUAAAUGAAAUGUUUAACAUGAUAUUUAUGAUUAAAGUAUUAAAAAGUAAGUGCAAACAUAUUUCUUCAAGAAGUUACUGUUAAAAUGCAAACAACAUAAUUCCCUGGUCUUUAUUUAAUAACAUGAAUAAUAAAAUUGAGAAAGGAAAUGGGGAUGUGUUAAAACAACAACAACCCGACAAUAGAGCAGACAACAGCCGAAGGCCACCAAUGGGUCUUCAAUGUAGCGAGAAAUUUCAUUAAACAUUUGAACAAGGAUGUAAUUUUUCACACACAUUUUAAUAAGGUGCACUACUUUGAUAAAACUUUAAAAUAAAAUGAGUUAUAUUUAUUGAGAUCAGAAUGUGAGUUCCAUUAUUGCAAUAUUCAAAAUGCAAAUUUGCUAUAUAAAAACAUUACAAUAACUUCUGAAUAUACAUCAUACAUGUACAUUAAUAUUCUUACAAUGUAAGAAAACAGAAAUUUAUUUGCACAAAUUAAACAAGAAUGUGUCCCCAGUACACGGAUGCCCCAUCCGCACUAUCAUUUUCUAUGUUCAGUGGACCAUGAAAAUGGGGUUAAAUCUCUAAUUUGGAAUUAAAAUUAGAAAGAUCAUAUCAUACAGAACAUAUAUACUAAGUUUCAAGUUGAUUAGACUUCAACUUCAUCAAAAACUACCUCGACCAAAAACUUUAACCUGAAGCGGGACAGACGGACGGACGGACGAACGAACAGACGGACGCACAGACCAGAAAACAUAAUGCCCCUAAAUGGGGCAUAAAAAACACUCACUAGCAUAUACAGUAGUUGUCUUUUGUUUAUGUAAUUUAUAUGUGUUUCUUGGUUUUUUUUAUAUAGAUUAGACUGUUGGACUUGGUUUUACCGUAAGAAUGGUUUUACACUAGUAAUUCUGGGGCCCUUUAUAGCUUUAAGUUCAGUGUGAGCCAAGGUUCCUUGUUGAAGGCCGUACGUUGACAUAUAAUGGUUAACUUUUAUAAAUUGUUAUUUGGAUGGAGAGUUGUCUCAUUGGCACUCACACCACAUCUUCCUAUAUCUAUAGACUAUUAACCCCUCCACAUUCUGUAUGCAUGUGCCUGUUAUUCAGUGGUUGUCUAUGUUGCUGUGUUACAUAUUAGACUGUUAGUUUUCUCCUUUGAAUUGCUAAAAAAUACAUUUGCAAUUUAGGGGCCUUUUGUAGCUGAAUAUGCAGAAUGGGCUUUGCUCAUUGUUGAAGGCCAUACAGUGACCUAUAACUAUAGUUGUUAAUUUUGGUGUCAUUUGGACACUUGAGGAGAGUUGUCUCAUUGUACAAAAGUUAGCUGAUUGCAGGAUAAAACAAUUUACCUGUGUAUAAAAAUAAAACUCUCCAAUUUCAAACCAUCACUUUAUAUUUCAUCAAACCUGGAAUGGCAUACUAGUGUAUCUUGUAAUUAACAGGUAAGCUGA
rnacentral:lncRNA from 1 species